rnacentral:rRNA from 1 species
GGCGGAGCAUGCGGAUUAAUUCGAUGCAACGCGAAGAACCUUACCAAGGCUUGACAUAUAGAGGAAAGGUGCAGAAAUGUACCCCCCGCAAGGUCUCUAUACAGGUGGUGCAUGGUUGUCGUCAGCUCGUGUCGUGAGAUGUUGGGUUAAGUCCCGCAACGAGCGCAACCCUCGUCCUAUGUUGCCAGCACGUAAUGGUGGGAACUCAUGGGAUACUGCCGGGGUCAACUCGGAGGAAGGUGGGGAUGACGUCAAAUCAUCAUGCCCCUUAUGUCUUGGGCUUCACGCAUGCUACAAUGGCCGGUACAGAGGGCUGCAAUACCGCAAGGUGGAGCGAAUCCCACAAAGCCGGUCUCAGUUCGGAUUGAGGUCUGCAACUCGACCUCAUGAAGUUGGAGUCGCUAGUAAUCGUGAAUCAGCAACGUCACGGUGAAUACGUUCCCGGGCCCUGUACACACCGCCCGUCAAGUCAUGAAAGUCGGUAACACCCGAAGCCGGUGGCCUAACCUUUUGGAGGGAGCCGUCGAAGGUGGGAUCGGUGAUUAGGACU